GACGAACGCUGGCGGCGUGCUUAACACAUGCAAGUCGAACGGAAAGGCCCUGCUUUUGUGGGGUUCUCGAGUGGCGAACGGGUGAGUAACACGUGAGUAACCUGCCCUUGACUUUCGGAUAACUUCAGGAAACAGGGGCUCAUACCGGAUAGGAGCUCCUGCUGCAUGGUGGGGGUUGGAAAGUUUCGGCGGUUGGGGAUGGACUCGCGGCUUAUCAGCUUGUUGGUGGGGUAGUUGCAUACCAAGGCUUUGACGGGUAGCCGGCCUGAGAGGGUGACCGGCGACAAUGGUACUGAGAGACGCACCAGACGCCUACGGGACGCAGCAGGGGGGAACAUGGCACAGUGGGCGGAAGCCAGAUGCAGCAACGCCGCGUGCGGGAUGACGGCCUAUGGGUUGUAAACCGCUGUCGCCUGUAACGAAGCGGGAGUGACGGUAAUGGAUAAAGAAGCACCGGCUAACUACGUG
rnacentral:rRNA from 1 species